rnacentral:lncRNA from 1 species
AGCAUUGCAGUAAAGUACUUGCUGUAACACCUCCUCUUUGCAAAGGCAGAGCUCAGCUUCUCAGGCACAGUGAGCAGGACACACUUGUAGCUGGCUGAUCUUCAAGUACUCGGGGUGUUGGCACGAGGUCAUUUACCCACUGUGUUGCUUCUGUCAUUGCAGCCUGGCUAGACCAAGUGAACAGGCAGUGCUUCCCCAGGAUCAGAGGCAUUGUAGAGCAUUCUGCACUUCAAUGCCUGCUGUGGCACUGCACCAGGGGGCUGUCAGUCCAAAAUACCUUCUUUAGGUCCCUGAAUGCCUGGGUGACAAAGAGAUAGCUGGAUGAAUCUAUU